rnacentral:rRNA from 2 species
GAAUGCUGACAUAAGUAACGAUAAAGCGGGUGAAAAGCCCGCUCGCCGGAAGACCAAGGGUUCCUGUCCAACGUUAAUCGGGGCAGGGUGAGUCGACCCCUAAGGCGAGGCCGAAAGGCGUAGUCGAUGGGAAACGGGUUAAUAUUCCCGUACUUGGUGUUACUGCGAAGGGGGGACGGAGAAGGCUAUGUUGGCCGGGCGACGGUUGUCCCGGUUUAAGCGUGUAGGUGUGUGUUCCAGGUAAAUCCGGUUCACUUUAACACUGAGGCGUGACGACGAGGCACUACGGUGCUGAAGCAACAAAUGCCCUG